rnacentral:rRNA from 1 species
UACGUAGGUGGCAAGCGUUGUCCGGAUUUAUUGGGUGUAAAGGGUGCGUAGGCGGUCCUAUAAGUCAGUGCUGAAAUAUCCCGGCUUAACCGGGAGGGUGGCAUUGAUACUGCAGGACUUGAGUAAAGUUGAGGUAGGCGGAAUUGACGGUGUAGCGGUGAAAUGCUUAGAUAUCGUCAAGAACACCGAUAGUGUAGACAGCUUACUAAGCUUUAACUGACGCUGAGGCACGAAAGUGUGGGGAUCAAUCAGG